GAGCGCCCGUUGCGUCGAGAGGCGCACGGCGGGUGCGGAGAGAGGCCAUGGGAAACGGAUCAGGAGCAAUCCCGACACCGCGCCCAUGGCCUACUCACC
rnacentral:ncRNA from 1 species